rnacentral:rRNA from 1 species
UAGGGAAUAUUGCUUAAUGGGCGAAAGCCUGAAGCAGCAACGCCGCGUGUGUGAAGAAGGCCUUCGGGUUGUAAAACACUUUUUGAGGGAAUGAGGAAGGACAGUACCCUCAGAAUAAGCCUCGGCUAACUACGUGCCAGCAGCCGCGGUAAAACGUAGGAGGCGAGCGUUAUCCGGAUUUACUGGGCGUAAAGCGCGUGCAGGCGGCACGGCAAGUUGGAUGUGAAAGCUCCCGGCUUAACUGGGAGAGGUCGUUCAAAACUGCCGAGCUAGAGUGCUGGAGAGGGAGGUGGAAUUCCGGGUGUAGUGGUGAAAUGCGUAGAUAUCCGGAGGAACACCAGUGGCGAAAGCGGCCUCCUGGUCCGCAACUGACGCUCAGACGCGGAAGCUAGGGUAGCAAACGG